CUAAUUCUGAGCUACACCUCACGAUCGGCUCUUGCUUCUAAUACACACCUAUAGAAUACCUUGUCAACGACUAAUUCUUUAAAUCUGUAAGGAAACAAGACAUCGGAUAAUAAGCUCAACAAUCCAGUAAGUAAUGAUGGGAUCUAUCAUGUCCCGGAUCCGAAAUUACGAGAUAGGGACAUGGCAAUUGCCGCAUACUCAUAGUGCUCUUUUCCCAUAUGCAUGCAACGCUACCAUCAUGAUAUCAUAAUAAUUCAACCGAAUACAACCAAAGCAACUAAAAUCCAAAUUCCAAUAAUUAAUAAAUCCAACUAACAAGAGACGUUCAGAAUUUUGUUCAUGAGAGUUUUACAUCGAUUAUUCUUCAAACACUGAUCAAAAUAAGAAACCUAUAAAUGUUUCUAUACCAAACUAUGAAAGCAAUACUAAAUCAGAGCUACACCUCACGAUCGGCUCUUGCUUCUAAUACACAUCUAUAGAGUACCUUAUCAAUGACCAAUUCUUUAAAUCUGUAAGGAAAGAAGACAUCGGAUAACAAGCUCAACAACCCAAUAAGUAAUGAUGAACAACUUAACUAGAUAAUUCACAUAAUAAAUUAAAUAAAUAAAUUUAUGGAUAAUAUGCAAUAUAAACAAAAGCAUUACAUAAUACCAAACAAAUCUAGAAUAUCCAGUAUUGCUCAAAUACUCAUAUUCUUAAUACUAAGUUCAAUUUGAAAAUAUCAUGUUCAACUCAACAACCUUUUAACUCAAGGUACGCCGUCUCGGUACUGGGCUCCAUACCGAUGCUAUCUUAUAACUAUGUCGGUACCUCGGUACAAGGUCCAGUUCGAUAUACAGUGUCGGUACCCCCCCUCCCCCCUACCACAUACCGGUACUGAACCAAAAUCGUAUAGUACGCCCUGUACCAUCUGAUUUAGUAUGGUAUGCUGUAAAUUGUUUUAACUAUUAGCGCAUCAUCUCUAUGGCAGGGCCCAUAUAUCACAUUUAGACCUCGUAGAGUAGGUCCAAAGUACCGCAUUUAACCCCUAUAAAGUAGGUGUAUAAUACAGCACUCAACCCCUGCAGUAUAGGUCCAUAGUACCAUAUUUAAUCCAACGGAGUAAGUCCAUUUUAGCACACUUAACCCCUACGGAGCAAGUCCAUACUAAUCAAGUCCCAGAAUGGUCAAAGUACCAAAGUUUAACCGAAUCGAUAAUAUAGUCUAGCUGAGAGUCCAAAUCCAAAACAUGUUAGAGGUCUUUACAAAAUCAUAUAUAUUUUAUUCUAAUCCAAAUAUGCAUAUUCCAAAUAAAAUCAAUAAACAACUUGCAUAAUAUUCCAUAAUAAAAAUAUUACCUCUGAAUUACAAAUUUAAUUUCCAUUCAAACAUAGUUCCAUAAAAUUAUAAAUCGCAAGUAAAUCAACUUAUAAUUUAUUUAAUGUAAAAAUAUAUUCAGAAUAAUUAUUUGAAAAAUCUAGAAAAGAUGGAUCAUUACUUACCCUACAGUAGAUAUACAAAUCCAAAUAAAUUCUAAAAAUUUCCCAAUAAAAAUUUUGAUUUAAGAAGCUGUUGUGUAAUAACCCCUUAUUGGACUUCUUGUUCAAACGGUUAUACAUCUACAUGGAAUCAAGUCCAACAAUUAGAAAAGAUUACAAAGGAAAUACGAGCAAUUUUAGAAAACUAGGAGGAAGAGUUGAAGAAAGGGAACAGGGUUGGCCGACGAUAAUGUUUGGCUCAUGGUCUGCCGAACCGAGCCGAGCCGCUCGGUUCGGAAAGUAUCGAGCCGACCCGGUGCGAAAUCGAGUCGGUUUGCCUUUAAUAUUUAGUUUCAGCCCCGAACCGGCCGAAACCGAUACUGUACUAGCGGGAACAGAUCCCAAAGCAACCAGAACCAGCCGCAACCGAUGCAAACCGGCCUAGAACCGGUCAGUUCUAUUAUCAUAGUAAGAUCUCAACCAUUUCAUUAAAUCAGAAUUUUUGAUAUUAUAGGAGUAAUCUUGGAAGGUUUAGGGUAAGACUGAAUGUCUAAAAUAUCAGACAUAUUGGGUAACAAUGAACUAGAGUAGAGUGGGGAUUUUAUGUAAUUUGAUGGUGAUCAUAGGAUGGAUAGGUUCUGCCCUAUUAUAACCAAAAAUUUUACCUCAAAAUUGGGUGAGUAUUUCAAUCUGAAAUUUUAACUAGAAAUUGUUAACUCAUGGAUGAAUAAACCUGCAAAAUUUGAGAAUUUUUAAAACGAUUAUAACUUGGUUGAUUAAAUUGUCGAAAUGGCCUGACAUGUAGGGUGUUGACCUUGCAUUUGAUUAGAAUCUUACAUAAACUUAGUGUUUUGGCAUGAUUUUUGAUGAAAUUAUAAUAAUAAUAAUAAUUUUUUUGGAUCUAAAAUAUUUCAAAUAUUAUUUCAUAAAAGAAGCAUGGAAAAUCGCUAUAUUACUAUAGCUAUAUAAAAUAAAGCAAAUUAUGAAGCCCUGAUUUGGAUUAAUUAUUUCACUAUUUAGAUAUGAAAUUAACUCUAAAAAUUUUGCAUAUCAUAUGCAAGGUACGUCGAACCGGUACCGGUCGGCGUACCGGUGGCGAUCCAGACAGGUUCGGUACCAGUUCGGGCCUUACUGAACCGGUUCAGCCAGGUUUCGGCUACGGCGCCUUUUUUUCCGGCUACAGCAAGCGCGAGCGCGUGCAAAAAUGCCACAGCACAGCUACAGUAGCAUUAAAUGCCAUUGUAAUAAUAUUGUAGCUGAAUUAUAAUGAUACUAUAGCUGCGUUAUAGCUGUUAUAGUGGCAUUUAAUGCCACUGUAGCACUGCAUUUAAUGCCAUUGUAGCUGUAAAUGCCACAUUGGACCGAACUCGGUGCCGGUUCGCACCGAGUCCUAGCCGAACCAGACGGAACCGGUCCGGUUCGGCCUUGUACCGAUGCGAACCGGUCUGGUUCGCACCGGUACACCCUCAGUACUGCUUGGUUCUGGCUCCUGUUUUCCACCGCUGUACCGGAUCAGUCCGGUACGGGUUGAACCGGCCGGUACGGGCCGGUUCAGCAUACCAUGAUCAUAAGUGGGAUGAAUUUACUUAUUAAUCCUAAAAUUUUGUAAGUUUAGGAUAUUCCUAUAGGGAGAAACAAAAGUUAUAUUAGAUUAGCUAAUAGUAGUAUAGACUCGGAAGUUAGAAAUAUCUAGAAUUAAUAAUGUAUAAAAGGGUGGACAGGAAGCUAGCAUUUAACUCUCAAUUACCUUGUUUUAGGUUGAUUUUGGAGUGUUCACAAAUUUUCAAGAUGUUGGUUAGUGCGAGAAGGUAAGUAACCUCAGCCUAACAAGAGCAAUUCUAACUUAUAUAUAUUUUGAAAAAUAUUUUGUAUUAAUUAUUGUUAAAUACUUUGAGAAUUGUCUUGAGAAUUGUCCAGUUUGUUUUGUGUACCUUUAAAUUAGAUCAAGCAUGAAGCUAUCAUAUUAUUGAGCUUUUGGAUAUCCAUGGCAUCUACGCGUUUUUCAUAAUCAUGAGUUAUUACUAAAAUUAUUCCAAAUAAUUGAAUUUUUGGAAACUUUUGUAUGAACCUACAUAUUUUAUAUUUUGAAGUUUUAAUAUAUAUUGAUUUGGAAAAUCAUGCUUGCAUAUCAACUAUUGGAAUGAUAUUUUUGCAUAAUUGUGGAUUUGUAAAGUGUUGAGCCAUACUUGUACAAUGCAAAAUAAAAUACAAUAAUAUUGGUUAAAUAAGUGGAUUUUGUGUGCAAUGAUUGAACACUCAAUCUAACUAUCUUUUGGAUCCCGCCAAUGGAGAUCAUAUCUUGGCAGUUCCAGAACUUGAUUACUUUGGACAUACUCCACAAGGAAUAAGUAUGAUACUUGGACCUACAUAGGGGUUAUGUGCAAUACUUUGGACCUACUCCAUAGGGGUUAAGUGCCGUAUUUUGGCCCCUGUCAUAAAAAUAAUGUGGUUGUAGUUUUAUAGAUUGAUGAGUAAGUAAAUUAUUUUAGAAAAUAAUUUUAUUGAUAAUAUUGGCAAAGUUCUUGGCUCUGGUAUUGAUAUUGAAAAUGCUCUUUGGAAUCAUAUCUGAAUUAUUGAUUUAGAAAAUGAUAUAUUGCAGUAUUUUAAAAUUACAAAUAUAAAACUUUAAUUAUGGGAGUAUUAUAUCUCUAUAUAAGUUAUUUUGUAUCAUACAGUCAUCAUGGUUUUAUUUGUUAUACUUGUUUGAUCUCUUAGAUAAUGGUUUUUGUUACUUACUAGGCUAGCUCAUUCUUUGGAUUUCUAUAGGCAUAGGAAGGGAACGAAUAGAAAGGUUAGAUUGUGAGAAUAGAGUGAGACUUAAGAUCCAAUUGUAUCAGACCAGCCUUUACAAUUUUCUUUGGAAAUAAUGAAGUGGUUAUGUUGGUUGAGGUGUAGUUUCACUUGAAUAUGUAAAUUAAUAAUGUUUUGAAAAUUAGCUUGAUGAGUUUCUAGAAAUUAUUGAGUUUUGGAGGUUUUAAUUACUAAUUGUAUAUUUGACAAGUUGUCGCAUGUAUGCUAGUGGGGCCAGCCCUACAUGUGUGCGAUGGGUUGUCGCAUUCCUCAAUCAUGCUUGGGUCAAGCAUGUGAUAAUUAUAACGGUAUCAAAGCUAGGUUUAUGAUCACAAGGGUUUGACAUAGGACUAUAUGAGAGCUAGCAAUUGGUACCUUAGGAUAUGCUUUUAGGAUAACCCUAGUUUGUCACAACCCACGGCUUCACCCAAAAAGGCCACCUGAAAUGUAUUAUUUAGGUUCUUUGGUCCUAUGUAAGUAUUUGGGAUCCACCAAUUGCAUAGCCGAUGUGGGAGUAGACACACCCACACAAGUCCUCACAUACUCCCUCCAUUUAAACUCUGUCAUCCUAGCCAGGCUAAGGUUUUAAAUCAGUUCAAAUCCAAUCACAAGUACCACAAAUCCAAUCUAGACCCAUAUUGCAGUGUCCCUUAGUCCACAUGGUGAUGGGCUAGGUCCGACAGUGGAUCUUCUCGACAGAAAUAGGUAGGAAGAAAGAAAAUAGUGAGAUGCUAAUUCCUCAUCUUCGGCGACUCGUACCGACCUACACCGAGAUGAGCUGAGACAUACCAAGGUGAACCGAGGGAUGUACUGACUCGUACCGACCCAUAAUACCUAGUUUCAAGCAAUACCAUGAUAAAAAGUGAGGCAAAAGGCUUGAAAUCUAUCUCAGUACGAGGUACAUAUCGUACCAUAUCAGCCCAUACCAUACCAAACCGAUAAUGCACCAAUAUGAUACUAGUACCGAGAUUGCGGACCUGGACAACAGUUGCAGAUGGUAGAAAAAGCCCAAGAAAGAGAGAAAAACAAGGAGAAGAGAGAGCUUGGGGUGCAGCCUCACUAGGGGUGGUGGGAGUCUUAUGGCUAAUGGAGGCUAGGGUUUCCUAGCCCCCGUUGGUGAUCAAGGAAGCGAAGUCUGCCUCAUUCAAGUAGAAACAGAGGCUUUGCCCCAUCAAAUUUUGGGAGCAAGACAUGCUAGCAACAAGCCAAGCCAAAGGGGGCCAAGCCUCAUCCUUCAUGGUCAAUGGACUAGGCCCAUGUAGUGUUAGGCUGACCAAUGAGCCAGGCCUCACAGGAUCUUAGCAAUCCAUCUCCAUAAAGCCUUAUAAAUAAAAAUUUCAAAUACCCCCUCUUUGAAAAUUAUUUCUAAUCAUGCUAUGACUCUCA
rnacentral:lncRNA from 1 species